UACGUAGGGGGCAAGCGUUGUCCGGAUUUAUUGGGCGUAAAGAGCGUGUAGGCGGCCUGGUAGGUCAGCUGUGAAAACUCGAGGCUCAACCUCGAGACGCCGGUUGAAACCAUCAGGCUAGAGUCCGGAAGAGGAGAGUGGAAUUCCCGGUGUAGCGGUGAAAUGCGCAGAUAUCAGGAAGAACACCAAUGGCGAAGGCAGCUCUCUGGGACGGUACUGACACUGAGACGCGAAAGCGUGGGGAGCGAACAGG
rnacentral:rRNA from 1 species